AGCAGCCGCGGUAAUUCCAGCUCCAAUAGCGUAUAUUAAAGUUGCUGCAGUUAAAAAGCUCGUAGUUGAAUUUCGGGAUCAAUAUGUUGGUCGUGCCUCGGUACGUACUAGCUUAUUGGUUUCUCCCUUCUGACGAACCAUGAUGUCAUUUAUUUGGUGUUAUGGGAAAUCAGGACUGUUACUUUGAAAAAAUUAGAGUGUUUAAAGCAGGCUCACGCUUGAAUACAUUAGCAUGGAAUAAUGAAAUAGGACGUUUGAUUCUAUUUUGUUGGUUUCUAGGAUCGACGUAAUGAUUAAUAGGGAUAGUUGGGGGCAUUAGUAUUCAAUUGUCAGAGGUGAAAUUCUUGGAUUUAUUGAAGACUAACUACUGCGAAAGCAUUUGCCAAGGAUGUUUUCAUUAAUCAAGAACGAAAGUUAGGGGAUCGAAGACGAUCAGAUACCGUCGUAGUCUUAACCAUAAACUAUGCCGACUAGGGAUCGGAUGAUGUUAAUUUUUA
rnacentral:rRNA from 1 species